GAUGAACGCUAGCGGCAGGCUUAACACAUGCAAGUCGAGGGGUAUAGGAAGCUUGCUUCCUAGAGACCGGCGCACGGGUGCGUAACGCGUAUGCAAUCUACCUUUUGCAGAGGGAUAGCCCAGAGAAAUUUGGAUUAAUACCUCAUAGUAUAAUUUUUUCGCAUGAAGAGAUUAUUAAGGUCACAACGGCAAAAGAUGAGCAUGCGUCCCAUUAGCUAGUUGGUAAGGUAACGGCUUACCAAGGCGACGAUGGGUAGGGGUCCUGAGAGGGAGAUCCCCCACACUGGUACUGAGACACGGACCAGACUCCUACGGGAGGCAGCAGUGAGGAAUAUUGGACAAUGGGCGCAAGCCUGAUCCAGCCAUGCCGCGUGCAGGAUGACGGUCCUAUGGAUUGUAAACUGCUUUUGUACGAGAAGAAACACUCCUACGUGUAGGAGCUUGACGGUAUCGUAAGAAUAAGGAUCGGCUAACUCCGUGCCAGCAGCCGCGGUAAAAC
rnacentral:rRNA from 1 species